UUCAUACUCCCUUCGUCUCAAAAUUCUUGUCUUAUAUUUGUUUGGAUAUGAAUAUAUCUAGUCACGUUUUAGUAUUUUGAUACAUUCAUUUCUAGAUAAACUUAAGACAAGAUUUUAAAAACGAAGGUAGUACUAA
rfam:Hordeum vulgare subsp. vulgare, WGS project CAJW01000000 data, contig: morex_contig_65606